UACGAAGGGGGCUAGCGUUGUUCGGAAUACUGGGCGUAAAGCGCGCGCAGGCGGUCUUCCAAGUCAGUGGUGAAAGCCUGGAGCUCAACUCCAGAACUGCCCAUUGAAACUGUUAGACUUGAGUACGAGAGAGGUGAGUGGAAUUCCCAGUGUAGAGGUGAAAUUCGUAGAUAUCAGGAGGAACACCUGUGGCGAAGGCGGCCUCUGGACGGAUACUGACGCUGAGACGCGAAAGCGUGGAGC
rnacentral:rRNA from 1 species